rnacentral:rRNA from 1 species
AUUGAACGCUGGCGGCAGGCUUAACACAUGCAAGUCGAGCGAGCGGCGGACGGGUGAGUAAUGUCUGGGAAACUGCCUGAUGGAGGGGGAUAACUACUGGAAACGGUAGCUAAUACCGCAUACCAUCAAAUUUGCCCAGAUGGGAUUAGCUAGUAGGUGGGGUAAUGGCUCACCUAGGCGACGAUCCCUAGCUGGUCUGAGAGGAUGACCAGCCACACUGGAACGGAGACACGGUCCAGACUCCUACGGGAGGCAGCAGUGGGGAAUAUUGCACAAUGGGCGAAAGCCGGAUGCAGCCAUGCCGCGUGUGUGAAGAAGGCCUUCGGGUUGUAAAGCACUUUCAGCGAGGAGGCGGUACUCGAAGAGGAAGCAACGGCUAACUACGUGCCAGCAGCCGCGGUAAUAC